AUUGAACGCUGGCGGCAGGCCUAACACAUGCAAGUCGACCGAGUGGCGGACGGGUGAGUACUGUCUGGGCAUCUGCCUGAUGGAGGGGGAUAACUACUGUAAACGGUAGCUAAUACCGCAUACCAUCGCCUGUGCCCAGCUGGGAUUAGCUAGUAGGUGGGGUAAAGGCUCACCUAGGAGAAGAUCCCUAGCUGGUCUGCGAGGAGGACCAGCCACACUGGAACUAAGAAACGGUCCAGACUCCUACGGGAGGCAGCAGGGGGGAAUAUUGCACAGUGGGCGCAGGCCUGAUGCAGCAAUGCCGCGUGUAUGAAGAAGGCCUUCGGGUUGUAAAGUACUUUCAGCGGGGAGGCGUGACCCGCAGAGGAAGCACCGGCUAACUCCGUGCCAGCAGCGCGGUAAUAC
rnacentral:rRNA from 1 species